UACGUAGGGGGCAAGCGUUGUCCGGAAUCAUUGGGCGUAAAGCGCGUGUAGGCGGUCCGGUAAGUCCGCUGUGAAAGUCGGGGGCUCAACCCUCGAAUGCCGGUGGAUACUGUCGGGCUAGAGUACGGAAGAGGCGAGUGGAAUUCCUGGUGUAGCGGUGAAAUGCGCAGAUAUCAGGAGGAACACCAAUUGCGAAGGCAGCUCGCUGGGACGUUACUGACGCUGAGACGCGAAAGCGUGGGGAGCAAACAGG
rnacentral:rRNA from 1 species